GUCUGCUUUCUGAAGGAGCUUCCAGUCUCGAUGGAAAGAGUCCAGAUCUCAUCACAGCCGGAUCCACAGACUC